rnacentral:rRNA from 1 species
AUUGAACGCUGGCGGCAUGCUUUACACAUGCAAGUCGAACGGUAACAGGCCGCAAGGUGCUGACGAGUGGCGAACGGGUGAGUAAUGCAUCGGAACGUGCCCAGUCGUGGGGGAUAACGCAGCGAAAGCUGCGCUAAUACCGCAUACGAUCUGUGGAUGAAAGCGGGGGACCGUAAGGCCUCGCGCGAUUGGAGCGGCCGAUGUCAGAUUAGGUAGUUGGUGGGGUAAAGGCUCACCAAGCCGACGAUCUGUAGCUGGUCUGAGAGGACGACCAGCCAAACUGGGACUGGGACACGGCCCAGACUCCUACGGGAGGCAGCAGGGGGGAAUUUUGGACAAUGGGCGCAAGCCUGAUCCAGCAAUGCCGCGUGCAGGAAGAAGGCCUUCGGGUUGUAAACUGCUUUUGUACGGAACGAAAAGGCUCUGGUUAAUACCUGGGGCUCAUGACGGUACCGUAAGAAUAAGCACCGGCUAACUACGUGCCAGCAGCCGCAGUAAGAC